rnacentral:rRNA from 1 species
GAUGAACGCUAGCGGCAGGCCUGACACAUGCAAGUCGAGGGGUAGCAGGAUUAAGCUUGCUUAAUUGCUGACGACCGGCGCACGGGUGCGUAACGCGUAUGCAACCUACCUUAUACUGGGGUAUAGCCCGGAGAAAUUCGGAUUAAUCCCCCAUAGUACUAAUGAAUCGCAUGGUUUAUUAGUUAAAGCAUUGCGGUAUAAGAUGGGCAUGCGUCCUAUUAGCUAGAUGGUGAGGUAACGGCUCACCAUGGCUACGAUAGGUAGGGGGCCUGAGAGGGUGGUCCACCACACGGGUACUGAGACACGGACCAGACUCCUGCGGGAGGCAGCAGUGAGGAAUCUUGGUCAAUGGGCGCAAGCCUGAACCAGCCAUGCCGCGUGCAGGAAGAAUGCCCUAUGGGUUGUAAACUGCUUUUAUUUGGGAAUAAACCUCUUUACGUGUAGAGAGCUGAAGGUACCAAAUGAAUAAGCACCGGCUAACUCCGUGCCAGCAGCCGCGGUAA